rnacentral:piRNA from 1 species
UGAAGAAGAUGUACAAGGCGUGCCUC